UGAUUUUUGCGGUUUUGGC
rnacentral:snRNA from 1 species